rnacentral:rRNA from 1 species
UACGGAGGGGGCGAGCGUUAUUCGGAAUUAUUGGGCGUAAAGGGCGCGUAGGCGGCUUGGCAAGUCAAAGGUGAAAUCCCUCGGCUCAACUGAGGAACUGCCUUUGAUACUGAAGAUCUUGAGUUCGGGAGAGGUGAGUGGAACUGCGAGUGUAGAGGUGAAAUUCGUAGAUAUUCGCAAGAACACCAGUGGCGAAGGCGGCUCACUGGCCCGAUACUGACGCUGAGGCACGAAAGCGUGGGGAGCAAACAGG